rnacentral:tRNA from 1 species
GUUUCCGUAGUGUAGUGGUUAUCACGUUUGCCUCACACGCACAAGGUCCCCGGUUCGAUCCCGGGCGGAAACA